AUUUAAUUCCUAAUAAUUAGACAGUUUGUCUAAUUUAAAAGGUAAGUUGGUUAUAAUCUUCGUGAUGUUUUGAAUCAUAAUCGAAGUUUUAACUUAUUUGAAAAAAAACUGUGGUUUUUUAUAUUGAUACAUCUAAACACCUCAGGUAAACAUGAUUAUACACAACAUCAAAGUGUACAACACAAAGUUGUCAAAAAAUAAAUAAUCAAAAGGUUAAAGAAGGAGACAAAAAAAGUGUGUAUUAUACAAUAUUGAAUAAUAUAUUAUUAUUAAUUUUUUUUUAACAUGUGUUAGAUGUUACAGUACAUUAUUGUCACCUGACAUGCUCAAGUCAUGUGACAUAAUACUUGGGUCAUGUGACUUCAGUGAUAUUCUUUAUUAUUUAUGAUCAUUUAUGAAGUUAAGG
rnacentral:lncRNA from 1 species